UACAGAGGUCCCAAGCGUUGUUCGGAUUCAUUGGGCGUAAAGGGUGUGUAGGUGGCGCCGUAAGUCGGGUGUGAAAUUUCGGAGCUUAACUCCGAAACUGCAUUCGAUACUGCGGUGCUUGAGGACUGGAGAGGAGACUGGAAUUCAUGGUGUAGCAGUGAAAUGCGUAGAGAUCAUGAGGAAGACCAGUGGCGAAGGCGGGUCCCUGGACAGGUCCUGACGCUGAGGCACGAAAGCUAGGGGAGCAAACAGG
rnacentral:rRNA from 1 species